rnacentral:rRNA from 1 species
AAAUUGAAGAGUUUGAUCAUGGCUCAGAUUGAACGCUGGCGGCAGGCCUAACACAUGCAAGUCGAACGGUAACAGGAAACAGCUUGCUGUUUCGCUGACGAGUGGCGGACGGGUGAGUAAUGUCUGGGAAACUGCCCGAUGGAGGGGGAUAACUACUGGAAACGGUAGCUAAUACCGCAUAACGUCGCAAGACCAAAGAGGGGGACCUUCGGGCCUCUUGCUAUCGGAUGUGCCCAGAUGGGAUUAGCUAGUAGGUGGGGUAACGGCUCACCUAGGCGACGAUCCCUAGCUGGUCUGAGAGGAUGACCAGCCACACUGGAACUGAGACACGGUCCAGACUCCUACGGGAGGCAGCAGUGGGGAAUAUUGCACAAUGGGCGCAAGCCUGAUGCAGCCAUGCCGCGUGUAUGAAGAAGGCCUUCGGGUUGUAAAGUACUUUCAGCGGGGAGGAAGGGAGUAAAGUUAAUACCUUUACUCAUU